rnacentral:misc_RNA from 1 species
GGUGGUUGCUUCAGAGGACAUAGGCCGACAAGUUUUGACGUAUGGUGAACGGAAACCUGUGGAACAUUUCUUGAAAGCUGUGGACGAAGUAACUCUGGAGGAUAUAGCUUCAAUUGCACAAAAACUUCUCUCUUCUCCAUUGACAAUGGCCUCAUAUGGCGAUGUUAUUCAUGUUCCAAGCUAUGAUUCUGUCAGCAGCAAGUUUAAGCCAAAGUGACCAAUCGUUUUGAUGAAUCCAAUUUGUCCCGCACGGAAAAUAGAAAUUGCUAUCCUCAAGUCUUGUACACUAUCUUCUGAAAAUAAGAAAAAGCCUAAAGA